GGCGGCGUGCUUAACACAUGCAAGUCGAACGGAAAGGGUYUCUUCGGAGAUACUCGAGUGGCGAACGGGUGAGUAACACGUGGGUGAUCUGCCCUGCACUUCGGGAUAAGCCUGGGAAACUGGGUCUAAUACCGGAUAGGACCACGGGAUGCAUGUCUUGUGGUGGAAAGCGCUUUAGCGGUGUGGGAUGAGCCCGCGGCCUAUCAGCUUGUUGGUGGGGUGACGGCCUACCAAGGCGACGACGGGUAGCCGGCCUGAGAGGGUGUCCGGCCACACUGGGACUGAGAUACGGCCCAGA
rnacentral:rRNA from 1 species